rnacentral:rRNA from 1 species
CGGAGGGUGCAAGCGUUAUCCGGAUUCACUGGGUUUAAAGGGUGCGUAGGUGGGUUGGUAAGUCAGUGGUGAAAUCUCCGUGCUUAACAUGGAAACUGCCAUUGAUACUACCGGUCUUGAAUUAUCUGGAGGUAAGCGGAAUAUGUCAUGUAGCGGUGAAAUGCUUAGAUAUGACAUAGAACACCAAUUGCGAAGGCAGCUUGCUGCAGGUAUAUUGACACUGAGGCACGAAAGCGUGGGGAUCAAACAGGAUUAGAUACCCUGGUAGUCCACGCCCUAAACGAUGGAUACUCGACAUUAGCGAUACACAGUAAGUGUCUGAGCGAAAGCAUUAAGUAUCCCACCUGGGAAGUACGACCGCAAGGUUG